rnacentral:rRNA from 1 species
UACGAAGGUCCCGAGCGUUGUUCGGAAUCACUGGGCGUAAAGGGAGCGUAGGCGGCGUGGUAAGUCAGAUGUGAAAUCCCGGGGCUCAACCCCGGAACUGCAUCCGAUACUGCCAUGCUAGAGGAUUGGAGAGGUAGCUGGAAUUCUUGGUGUAGCAGUGAAAUGCGUAGAGAUCAAGAGGAACACUCGUGGCGAAAGCGAGCUACUGGACAAUUCCUGACGCUGAGGCUCGAAGGCUAGGGUAGCGAAAGGG